UACGGAAGGCAGCAGGGGGAAUAUUGCACAAUGGGCGCAAGCCUGAUGCAGCCAUGCCGCGUGUAUGAAGAAGGCCUUCGGGUUGUAAAGUACUUUCAGCGAGGAGGAAGGCAUUAAGGUUAAUAACCUUAGUGAUUGACGUUACUCGCAGAAGAAGCACCGGCUAACUCCGUGCCAGCAGCCGCGGUAAUACGGAGGGUGCAAGCGUUAAUCGGAAUUACUGGGCGUAAAGCGCACGCAGGCGGUCUGUCAAGUCGGAUGUGAAAUCCCCGGGCUCAACCUGGGAACUGCAUCCGAACUGGCAGGCUAGAGUCUUGUAGAGGGGGUAGAAUUCCAGGUGUAGCGGUGAAAUGCGUAGAGAUCUGGAGGAAUACCGGUGGCGAAGGCGGCCCCUGGGACAAAGCUGACGCUCAGGGU
rnacentral:rRNA from 1 species